CCUCACCGCGCCUCCCCCCCGUCGGCGGCCCCGCGGAGCGGCGGUGGUACAGUCCGAGACGGCCCCCGGCUAUAAAUAGCGCCAGGCGCAUGGCUCUUCGGGAGGCGCUGAGAUUCCGGGCCGGGCGGCCGUGGGCAGCGGGUGCCCGUUAGGAACCGGGCCGUCGGCCUCCUCUCGUUGCCCUUUGGGGGUUCUUUUUGUAAUAGCAGCAGGACAGCUUUUCCCAUCUUCAGAAGUCGGGCCAAUUAAAAUCACGCGCUGCUUGCCCUCGGGGCUGGAGCUGGGACGGCGGGCCGAGCUGCUGGCCUAACCCCGGAGGGUCCCAGGCUGGCCAUCCGGUGCUCAGGGUUUCUCUGCUCUUACCCUCGAGUUACAUCACGUUCCUACACGAUAUGUUUUAGCAUUUGUUUAAAGAAACGAGACCCCAGCAGCCUGUAAACCCAGGCCAAGCCGGCGUGGUACAACCACAACGCGGUACUCUCCAGCGCCAGAGGAGGCCCGAGGGAGGCCCCGAGGUUCCCAGCCCCGAGGUUCAAGGUUCACCUCAGACCCCCAGCUUCCCUCGAAGGAUGAUGGGAGCCCAAAUCAAAGCGCAAGGCUGGAGAUGGAUCUGCAGGUGAUACUUGGAGGUGAUGAAGCCAGAAAACUCUUUGACACUGAAGACUUUUCUCAAAAGUAAAAAUGAAAUAAAAGAAAACGAAGACAUUGAAUAUAAAUUUAAAUCUUGCAAUCACUGCUGGGAAGUGAGCUGUAUCAUCUUGAGAAAUCAGACCACAGAGACGGGCCUGCAGCUGGCAGGCUGGGUCAUCUUUAAUCGCUUAACCCUUCAUAUCAAAGGAUGGCUUGUAGCAGCAGAUUCCUUCUCCAGAAUUUGCCAUGGCAGAUUUUCUCAAGGAAAAGCUUGGUUAUCAAGUCAGUGGUGCAGCAUCUUCCGACAGGCUGUUCUCCCGAGAAGGGCUCCCGUGUUCCUCAGGACCACUCCACUCCGCAGUGGUAAGAAGACAUGCAAAUGGGCCCUGGAGUCCUCCAGGAGGAAGAAGAUGGCACAGAUGAAAAGG
rnacentral:lncRNA from 1 species